rnacentral:rRNA from 1 species
UACGUAGGGUGCAAGCGUUGUCCGGAAUCAUUGGGCGUAAAGAGCGUGUAGGCGGCUCGAUCAGUCCGCUGUGAAAGUCCAGGGCUCAACCCUGGAAUGCCGGUGGAAACUGCCAGGCUCGAGUCCGGAAGAGGCGAGUGGAAUUCCUGGUGUAGCGGUGAAAUGCGCAGAUAUCAGGAGGAACACCAAUGGCGAAGGCAGCUCGCUGGGACGGUACUGACGCUGAGGCGCGAAAGCGUGGGGAGCAAACAGG